CGAGGCGUAGAGCGCGGCGUCGGCUCGCUCGAUCAGGUCGUGCGGCGAGGGCAGGUCGCCGCUCUCUGCCCCGCC
rnacentral:tRNA from 1 species